rnacentral:lncRNA from 1 species
UAUCUUCCCAUAGCCCAUGAGACCCCUCGGGGCGUGACACCCUUCUCGAUGGUCCCCGGCACCCCUCCCGGCACUCCCGAUACACUACCGAUGGGCCCGAAACUUUUCCGGUAAUGCCCGAAAACUUUUCGGUAACCAAAUGAGGUCAUCCUAUAUAUCAAUCUUUGUCUCCAGACCAUUCUAGAAACCCUCGUGACGUCCGUGAUCCCAUCCGGGACUCCGAACAACAGUC